GACGAACGCUGGCGGCGUGCCUAAUACAUGCAAGUAGAACGCACAGUUUAUACCGUAGCUUGCUACACCAUAAACUGUGAGUUGCGAACGGUUGAGUAACGCGUAGGUAACCUGCCUGGUAGCGGGGGAUAACUAUUGGAAACGAUAGCUAAUACCGCAUAAUAUUGAUUAUUGCAUGAUAAUUGAUUGAAAGAUGCUAUUGCAUCACUACCAGAUGGACCUGCGUUGUAUUAGCUAGUAGGUGAGGUAACGGCUCACCUAGGCGACGAUACAUAGCCGACCUGAGAGGGUGAUCGGCCACACUGGGACUGAGACACGGCCCAGACUCCUACGGGAGGCAGCAGUAGGGAAUCUUCGGCAAUGGACGAAAGUCUGACCGAGCAACGCCGCGGGAGUGAAGAAGGUUUUCGGAUCGUAAAGCUCUGUUGUAAGAGAAGAACGGGUGUGAGAGUGGAAAGUUCACACUGUGACGGUAUCUUACCAGAAAGGGACGGCUAACUACGUG
rnacentral:rRNA from 1 species